AUGAACGGGGUAGGGUAUUAGUAUAUCUAAUACAUAAUUUAGAUGUGAAAAAUUGUCCUCUAAAAAAGGAAAUGUUGAAUGAAUUGAUCGUAAAUUAUGAGAUUUGAAAAUCUUUUUGCCUUCGAAAGAAGAUAAAGAAGAUAUUAAUCGUAUAGAAAACGGAAUUUCUACAAUACAUGCAAAUCCCUCUGAUAUCAUUUGAGAAUACAAACUCUUGUUGCACCCCAAAAACGGAUUUUUGUUAGAAUCAUUAGUAGAAAUAAUCAAAUGAUUCUGUUGAUCCAUUCGAGUAAUUAACCGUUUCACAAUUAGGAAACUAAAUUUAUUGUUAUAACCUGAAUUUUCCAACAAAAUCGACCUAUUUCUAUUUAAACCAUGAUCCUGAGCAAGUGCAUAAAUAUACUCCUGAAAGAUAAGUGGAUAUAGGAAGUUGUGUUGUUGCGAGCUAUCCGGCUGUAAAUAUCUGUGGAUUUCUUCCAUUUGAAAUUCGAUUUGAACAAAAGAUGGAAGAUUUUGAGGGUUAUCAAAUGAUACAUAGUGCGAUACAGUUAAAACAAAGUAUUGUAGUAAGAAUAGAUACCUUGAAUACAGGUAAACUUCUCAACGGAUUCUCUAUCAUCUCUUUUUUUUUUUUCGUUUCAUUUAAUUGGUCUAUGUUAUAGUGUUAUAGGAUAAUAAGAUGUUUAGAAAUCCUUUAUUUUUUCAACCUAAUCGCUCUUUUGACUUCGGAAAAAACUUUCUUUAUCAAUAUACUGUUUCUUCUACACACAUCUCCAUAAUCGAAAAUGGUAAUAGUUAGGAUUCAUUAAAAAAAUUGAGAACACACUCAUGGGACAAGAAACCCUUCCCGCACCAGGCACUAAUAAAUUUUUAACGUCUAAUUAGAUCGGGAAUCAUUCAAAUUAAGAACAAAAGCUCGUUGCUUUUUCUUUCCCUAUAAUUUAAUUGAAGCCGCAGCCUUAUCCAUUUAUUCAUUCGACCCAACUUUAUUUUGUUCCGUUCCAAGAAUUCUAACACAGUUUUAUACCCAUCUAGGAACAAUUAAAUAUUUUCAGAACUUUCCGUUGAUACGACAUGCUAUUUUUACCAUUCAUUCCCUUUCAGGAUCAGUCGCGGUCUUCCAAACUUUACCGAGAGUAUGGACGAAUCCCUCACCUCAUCCAUAUGUGUAAAAGACACUAGCCGCACUUAAAAGCCGAGUACUCUACCGUUGAGUUAGCAACCCGAAGAAAAUAUCGAAAAAAUUAUGUAGAUCCAAUCCGAAGAAAAAGAAAUAACUAGAUUAGACAAGACAACCAAAAACCAUUGAAAGAAGAAAUCGAAAAAAAUACAUUCACACUUUCGAAUUCAUUUAAAACAUAAAAUAAAACUAAAUAGAUCCACUUCAUUUAUCACAAUGAAUUAUAUUUGUUCGAUACACUGUUGUCAAUAUAAAUAUUGAAUAUUGAAAAAAAAAAAGUAGAAAACAAAACUACAAUUUACUUAAAUUUACUUAGAUUUAUUGAAUUCAUAAUGGAUUCAAUCAAGUUAACUGAGAUAAGCAAACUUGAUUUCAUUCCGAAAUGCCCGAAUUAACUAUUUAGAAGAUCAAUAAAAUAAGAGGUUUUGUCGUUAUAGAACACGGAAUUCACUGGAAGCAAUGAUAAAUAAAUACAAAUAGAAAAGGAAAGGGAGGAAAUACAAAAAAAUAGAAGAGAAAAGUCAUACAAAGUUAUAUACAAAUCACUACCCCCUUUUUUGUAUUUCCUUAAUUUAUUUCCUUAAUUGAAUUUCGGUUGAUUAAGACGAAGUUCCUUAAAAACCUCUGCCUUCUUUAAAAUAUCCUGAACAGUUUCUGUAGGUUGAGCCCCUUUUUCAAGGAAAUAUAAAAUAGCAGGAACAUUUAAAUAAGUUUGAUUCUUUAUCGGAUCAUAAAAACCCACUUUCUGAAGAUCUUUUCCUUCUCUUCGGGAUCGAACAUCAAUUGCAACGAUUCGAUAGACGGCUCAUUGGGAUAGAUGUAGAUGAACAACACCCCCCCUAGAAACGUAUAGGAAGCUUUCUCCUCGUACGGCUCGAGAAAAAUGAUUGAUUCGAAGUUUUGUCUCUGUAUGGAAUUCUAUCUAAGAAAUGACAACUGGAUCCAUAAAAUGAUCAAAGCAAUUAAAGAUCUAAGUCUUUUUUUCUUCGUUCUUCCUUAAAAUGAAAAAUAAACCAUUCGUACUCUCAUAACUCAAGUUGGAUAACUUUCAAACAGUUCAAAGGAAAAUCUUUCGGCAAUUUCAUUUAUUGAGCGGUCUUUCCUCCUUUUUUGUUUGUCUCGUUUAAAAUCGGAUUCUUCAGUCUGAUCCAGUUAUUAAGACAAUUAAAAAGGUGUUUCCUUGUUCUGGGAUCCUUUAUCUUUGUUUUAUUUUAAAUCAUUGGGUUUAGACAUUACUUCGGUGCUUUUUAAUCCUUUCAAAAUGGCAGCAACAUACCCUUUUUGCGAUUUUUAUGAAAGAAUCCUACAAGAUGAUGGAUUCCCUCGUGAAACACUUUGGAUCGAAAAAGUUUGAUCAAUUCCAAUAAAUUUUUUAAUUUGAAACUUGCUCGAAUUGGAUUCUUUCGAUUUCCAUACCUAAGAUAUAUUAGAUAUAUUUACGAAGUUGUUUCAAUUGUUUUAUUGAUUGGCAUUAACCCUAGACCCUUGCCCCGAGAAAGAAAUUAAUACUUUCUACUCGAGCUCCAUCAUGGACUAUUUACAUUCCAAGACAACAAAAAACGAGGGGUUCUAGUGAAACAGAACCAAUGAUGUCGAGUUAAGAGCACCUUCAUUCCUACAAAAAAUGGUGGAUGUACAAAUCCACAACGGAUCGUGUCCUUCAAGUCGCACGUUGCUUUCUACCACAUCGUUUCAAACGAAGUUUUACCAUAACAUUCCUCUAAGAACCGGUAUGGAAUUGAUUCAAUUAUGGAAUCAUGAAUAGUCAUUGGUUGGGCUGAUGUAUAAACACCAUAAUCUAAAGUAUUUUCUAUAUCUUCUAUAUCUAUAGUAUAUAGAUAUAAAUAAUACUAUAGAUUAAUACUAUAGAUAUAGGGUGGAUAAAUAUUUUUCUGAAGAAGUCUUAGUAAGACCCCAUCGCUAAUAUUAAAUUGUCUAACAUUAUAAUAUUAAUUAAUAAAUAUAUAUAAAAAAAUUUUUUAUAUAAAUAAAAUAAGACGAAUAAACGAAUUCUUUUUAAUUCUGCAUCUUCACGUGACUUAAUAGGAGAGAAAGAUUCAGCUUCUAAGGAAUGAUUUAAACUAUUUCUCUUUCGAAAUUUCGAAUCAAUUUCGAAAGUUCCCCUCUCGACAUCAUUAUUCCAAGAAAAUUUGAUAGUUAAAAAUAACUUUUGAUCAUCUUAGGAAAAAAGAUAAGUCUUUUUUUUUUUUUUUUCAUCUGAUUAAUAAAAUCCAAAGAAUGGGGAGGGUUUCGUAUCUAUCAAUUCGAUCAAAUAGACUGAGCAAUUGUCACCGUUUAUAGAUAUUGAAAUGAACGCCUUCCCAUCACUGAUUAACUCCUAUCUACCCCAUUCUCUGGGACUGAUGCAGCAUAAAUCAAAAGAAGGGGAUGUCCUAGUCUUUUUUUUUACGAAAUGCGAGCUGGCUGGGCACAAAGCCAAACAAGCCCAGAUUAAGUCCAGUUUUUGCUCCUUUUUUCUAUUUUAGCCUACCUCAUUGAUUAAGAAUUAAGAGACUUAGUGAAUUGAAUUAGUACCAAAAACCCCUUCUUGGCGAAAAGUCAAGAAAUCCACAAAAAAGCAAAUUGAAUCUAAUUAGGCUAAUUUAGGGGGUAGAGAAUAUGAGAUAGGGAAUAUGGAUUCUUUCGUAUCUCGAUUCAGUUUUUGAAAAAAAAAAACGAUUCAUCGAAGAAAAAAAUCAGAAACAACAAUCACAUUCCAGCUAACAUUUCGAUUUUAAACAGAACAUUGUUAAAAAAGCAAUCUAUAUUGUCAGAGAAUAUAUAUGUUCUGGGACGGAAGGAUUCGAACCUCCGAAUAGCGGGACCAAAACCCGUUGCCUUACCACUUGGCCACGCCCCAUUUAGAUUUCUAUGCGAUACUAAUAAAGUAUAUUGCUGGUUUUGUUUGUUUGUCAACUCUAGCCCAAAUAUCUAUAGAAUCGAUUAGAUUGGUAUUCGGAUUUUUCUAUGUUUUUGGUAUGUGUAGAUAUAGAAUUCAACUUAAUUUAUUGAUCAUUACAUAUAAUUCAAUUAAGAUAUUGUAUGAAAAUAUUAUUUUUUCGAUUCUCCUUUUCUCAAAGGAGGAUUUUUGAUUGGGUGGGUUCAAAGAAAAAGAAGGAUUUUUUGUUUACCUUACUUACUUUCCUUUUCCUUAUAACUUACUUUCCUUUUCCUUAUAUAAAUAACUCAAUCAAAAUGCAAUUAUCUCCAAGAACAAAAAGUCUGUUAUGCUUAAUACCUUUAGUUUGAUCGGUAUCUGUCUUAAUUCGACCCUUUAUUCGAGUAGUUUUUUCUUCGGCAAAUUGCCCGAGGCCUAUGCUUUUUUGAAUCCAAUCGUAGAUAUUAUGCCAGUCAUACCUCUGUUCUUUUUUCUCUUAGCCUUUGUUUGGCAAGCUGCUGUAAGUUUUCGAUGAGAUCCUUAAUAAUAUCCUAGAAAAUUCAUGAUUUAUUCGAGAAAAAAUUCGAAAAUCAAUAAAAUCAGAUAAGCUUUACCGUUUGAAAUCUCGAUUCAAACAUUGAAAUUCUUGGAUAGUCACGAGAAAUCCGGCUUAACUUAAUUUCCUUCUUUUUUGGCGCUUUCCUUUCCAGUGAAAGACCUUAUUAGGCUCCUCUUGUGUAUAUAAAAAAUUUGGUUAAUGACAAACUCUUAUUAUAAAAGAAUUUCUGAAAAUUCUUUUAGAGAAAAAGCUUCGUUGCUUGGUGUCAAACUAGGAUAUGCGAUGGAUGAUCUAUUCUCUUUUUUUUUUUCAAAAAAAUCAUCUUGGAGAUUGUGUAAUGCUUACUCUCAAACUCUUCGUUUACACAGUAGUGAUAUUUUUUG
rnacentral:lncRNA from 1 species